rnacentral:lncRNA from 1 species
AACAGCGGGGAGGACCUGGCCGUCAACAUCAUCUUCCCCGAGAAGAUCGACAUGACCACCUUCAGCAAGGAGGCCGGCGACGAGGAGAUCUAAGCAGCGUUCCCACAGCCCCCUCUAGAUUCUUGGAGUUCCGCAGAGCUUACUAUACGCGGUCUGUCCUAAUCUUUGUGGUGUUCGCUAUCUCUUGUGUCAAAUCUGGUGAACGCUACGCUUACAUAUAUUGUCUUUGUGCUGCUGUGUGACAAACGCAAUGCAAAAACAAUCCUCUUUCUCUCUCUUAAUGCAUGAUACAGAAUAAUAAUAAGAAUUUCAUCUUUAAAUGAGUAAGAGAAAUAA